AACGAACGCUGGCGGCAUGCCUAACACAUGCAAGUCGAACGAGACCUUCGGGUCUAGUGGCGCACGGGUGCGUAACGCGUGGGAACCUGCCCUUAGGUUCGGAAUAACUCCCCGAAAGGGGUGCUAAUACCGGAUAAUGUCUUCGGACCAACGAUUUAUCGCCUUUGGAUGGGCCCGCGUUGGAUUGGCUAGUUGGUAGGGUAAAGGCCUACCAAGGCGACGAUGCAUAGCUGGUCUGAGAGGAUGGUCAGCCACACUGGGGCUGAGACACGGCCCCGACUCCGGAGGGAGGCAGCAGCGGGGAAUAUUGGGCAAGGGGCGAGAGGGUGAUACAGACAAGCGGCGUGUGUGAAGAAGGUCCUCGGCGGGGAAAGUACUUAAAGUUGGGGGGUAGGAAAGUAAUUUAACACGGUGCUGUUUUGACGGUACCGGCAGAAUAAGCCCCGGCUAACUUCGUG
rnacentral:rRNA from 1 species